AUAUCUCUUUUAUCAUUCUACUAAACAAAAGUUAUUUGUUAGUAAACAUGCCACUUUUAUGAAAAAAAAUUUAUCCUAGAAGAGACAGUGGAAAGAAAAUUGAACUUGAAGAAGUUUAAGGCCUAUAAAUAGAAGCACAAGAUAAUUCUCAACUAGAGUACCCAUUGACGAGGUACACCACAAUGUACACCUCCUCUCUGA
rnacentral:lncRNA from 1 species